UACGUAGGGGGCUAGCGUUGUCCGGAAUCAUUGGGCGUAAAGGGCGCGUAGGUGGCGGGACAAGCGUGCGGUGAAAGCCUGGGGCUCAACCCCGGGUCGGCCGUGCGAACUGUUUUGCUUGAGCACUGUAGAGGCAGGCGGAAUUCCGGGUGUAGCGGUGGAAUGCGUAGAGAUCCGGAAGAACACCGGUGGCGAAGGCGGGUUGCUAGGCUGACACUGACGCUGAGGCGCGAAAGCCAGGGGAGCAAACGGG
rnacentral:rRNA from 1 species